AUCACCAACAAACGCACUUACAUAUAUAUAUUCACAAUUAUUAGGUUGUAGGGUAUGGCCAUUAGCCACACCCACCGUAGCCGCCAUUGGAAGCCAUAAGAUCUUGUAGAAGAAAUCGGAGGAUAGAUUGAGAGGAAUUCAGAGGCUACUUGAAGAGGAUUCAAUCAGGUAGAGUUCUGUCAGACUUAGUUCUACAGGAGCAGUUUACAGAUUGCCAGGUCGCCCAAAUUCUUACAUCCAUAUGACGGAAAAUCAACGUUUAGAUUUGUGAUCAAUAUAUAUAUUUAUAUGAAGUUAACGAUGAGUUUGGGAGAAGAAAAGAGCAUAAAGUGGAAUGUGUUCGAUGACAUCAAGAACGCAGCAGCAACGGUAGCUCCCGAAGUACUGAUGGCUGAGAUCAACUCUGCCAUUAGUGCCCUCGAGUACGCUCGCUCUGCCGCCGUCGCCGCUGCUCUAGACAUGUCGCGGACGCGGCCCGGCCCCGGCCCUAUUCCGGGCUCGAAACCUAAAGCUGUAUGAAUGAAGGCUAAUGCACACCCCCAGGGAGUUUAAUUGUGAGUAAUUUCUGGGCAUCUGCAAAAGUUAUAUUCAUGUUUGGUUUGAACUAGCCACAAAAAUUCUAGUGCAAAAUAUUCAAUGGUUUUUUAUUACAGUGGAAGAACACAGUACAGUGUCUGGAUACA